AGAGUGAACGCUGGCGGCAGGCCUAACACAUGCAAGUCGAACGGCAGCACAGAGGAGCUUGCUCCUUGGGUGGCGAGUGGCGGACGGGUGAGGAAUACGUCGGAAUCUGCCUAUUUGUGGGGGAUAACGUAGGGAAACUUACGCUAAUACCGCAUACGACCUACGGGUGAAAGCGGAGGACCUUCGGGCUUCGCGCAGAUAGAUGAGCCGACGUCGGAUUAGCUAGUUGGCGGGGUAAAGGCCCACCAAGGCGACGAUCCGUAGCUGGUCUGAGAGGAUGAUCAGCCACACUGGAACUGAGACACGGUCCAGACUCCUACGGGAGCCAGCAGUGGGGAAUAUUGGACAAGUGGGCGCAAGCCUGAUCCAGCCA
rnacentral:rRNA from 1 species